rnacentral:rRNA from 1 species
UGGUGGAGUGAUUUGUCUGGUUAAUUCCGUUAACGAACGAGACCUCGGCCUGCUAAAUAGUGCUCGCCACUCUUCGGGGUGGCGUGGUGCUUCUUAGAGGGACUAUCGGUGACUAGCCGACGGAAGUUCGAGGCAAUAACA